AGCGAACGCUGGCGGCAGGCCUAACACAUGCAAGUCGAACGGACCCUUCGGGGUUAGUGGCGGACGGGUGAGUAACACGUGGGAACGUGCCUUUAGGUUCGGAAUAGCUCCUGGAAACGGGUGGUAAUGCCGAAUGUGCCCUUCGGGGGAAAGAUUUAUCGCCUUUAGAGCGGCCCGCGUCUGAUUAGCUAGUUGGUGAGGUAAUGGCUCACCAAGGCGACGAUCAGUAGCUGGUCUGAGAGGAUGACCAGCCACAUUGGGACUGAGACCCGGCCCAACCUCCUACGGGAGGCAGCAGUGGGGAAUCUUGCGCAAUGGGCGAAAGCCUGACGCAGCCAUGCCGCGUGGAUGAUGAAGGUCUUAGGAUUGUAAAAUCCUUUCACCGGUGAAGAUAAUGACUGUAGCCGGAGAAGAAGCCCCGGCUAACUUCGUGCCAGCAGCCGCCGUAACAC
rnacentral:rRNA from 1 species